UGCGCCUGGAGACUGGCACUUCUCCAAUGUAACAGAACUGUUUCCCCAAGAGGACAGAAACCACAUUACAACCAUAAAACAACAAUAAAAAAUUAUAUUUGGAUCCUCUAAAACAGGGGUUCUCAAGUCUGGCCCUCGAGCUGUCUUAUUUAGAAGGCUGCGUCCUCAAGAGGUCACAUUUGUAGGCUGCAUAUGUCAUUGAGUCUGCCUCAUUUCAGUAAAGUAACCAUUGCAUUCCAAAGUCAUAAUGAAAUUACAACAAUUUACACUUCACAAGGAAUAACGGUCAAUUUGAUAAUGGUUAAGGGGGUGUUUACACAACACCAUGGCACCAAAUGCUGCCUUUGGAGGACACAUUUCAAGGUAGGCAGGCAUCAAAGCAUGUCCGAAUCCAAUGUUGGCUUUACUUCCCAUUUCCUGAGAUACCUUCAUCUGAUCAAUUAUUGAAGGCAGUAUAGAUGUAUCCUUCACUGCCUUUGAUAUCCCACAAUCCUGUGCAUUCCAUUCUGUGACAUUGGAGCUAGAAAAAUAAGAAUGGUGUCCGAUAGUUGUGUUUGCUGGUCAGUUGUUUGUGUGUAAAUGUAUGUUUUUGACCAACAUUUUCCACUUUUGAUGUCAUUUCUAGCGAGAAAUUCUCAUCAAAGCUCGCGCUAUUUUGCGGUAGAUCAUUAAACUGUUAGGCUGCCUCUGAAGUAUGUCUGAAAUCAGUUUCGUGAGGUACCUUCAUGCACAAACAUGCCUUACAAGUCACUGCCUGAUAAGGCAGCGAGGCAACAAGUCAGCUGCCUAGGUUUUUGGAUGCAGCCUAUGUAAACUACAAAAACAUAUUCAGUCUAUAGGUGCGUAGUGUUUCUUUACAAAGUGAUAUUGCCAACUACUGGCCUGGCAUGCAUAAUGCAAGAUUUUUAUUUGUUUUCAUGAAUCCGUGCGAACGGGGAUCUUUUUGACAAUGUUGUCUCUACGCGAAAAAAGCAAAAGAAAAACUUUUCCACUUUUAGUACGUCGUUGUCAUGUAAACAUAUCCUAAAUUUGAGGCUUUCUACUAAAAGACAGCUUGAAAGUGAAAGUUGGUGUGUGGCAUGUAAUGUAGAAAGAAUGAGUAUGAUUACUGAGUGUUUGGUUUGUAUUAAAACCAGGAGAAAAAGAGGAAGAAACACUUUUCCCUUUCAGUCUUUGGUUUUUUUUUUUUUUUUUUGGUUUUUUUAAAUCCUCUUCUGUGAAUCUAGUGGACGGCAGCUUAAAAUACAGCUUAAUACCCAGCCAAUGAGAAAAGAGGGAGUUUUGUAUGACUUCUAAAAGUGAACAAACUGUAAGGUUGUCAUGAGAGUAAGAGCUUUUUUUACAUACAAUUCAAAGGACUCUUCAAACAAUGGGUUGAGAUCGCAGUUC